AUGACGGAGGGAUCCGCCCUCGAGAUUUCCAACCUGAAGUUCCUCCUUCUGUGCUUCCAGCAAAUGUCGGGCCUGACCAUCAACUUUGACAAGAGCGAAGUGAUGGUGCUCGGCUACCCCAAUGAGAACGCUCAGUCCAUUGCCGAUCGGCUUAACUGCCGGCUGGGAUCUUUUCCCACGACCUAUCUGGGGAUCCCCAUUAGCGACUCGCGCCUCACCGUGGCGGACCUCCGCCCCACGGUGACCCGUAUGCAGCACCGAGUUGAGCCCUGGAAAGGGCGCUGGCUGUCGAAGGCGGCACGUGUGAUCCUUAUCAACUCGUCGCUUGCCAGCCUUCUGUGGUUCCUCAUGAGCUUUUACAGCCUUCAUGAAACCCUUCAUCAGGAGAUCGCCAAGUACCAGGCCAGAUUUUUCUGGGCUGGCGAGGCAGGCAGACAGAAAUAUCACAUGGUCAGCUGGCCAGACAUCUGCAAACCCAAAGACCAGGGUGGCCUUGGGAUUUUGUCCUCUCGGCGCAUGAACAUCGCCCUCCUCACCCGCUGGCUAUGGCGCAUUGCCAAUGGGGAGGGAGGCCUUUGGUUG
rnacentral:rRNA from 1 species